rnacentral:rRNA from 1 species
UGGCGAACGGGUGAGUAACACGUGAGUAACCUGCCCACAACUUUGGGAUAACGCUAGGAAACUGGUGCUAAUACUGGAUAUGUGCUCCUGCUGCAUGGUGGGGGUUGGAAAGCUCCGGCGGUUGGGGAUGGACUCGCGGCUUAUCAGCUUGUUGGUGGGGUAGUGGCUUACCAAGGCUUUGACGGGUAGCCGGCCUGAGAGGGUGACCGGCCACAUUGGGACUGAGAUACGGCCCAG